AUUGAACGCUGGCGGCAGGCCUAACACAUGCAAGUCGAACGGUAACAGGAAACAGCUUGCUGUUUCGCUGACGAGUGGCGGACGGGUGAGUAAUGUCUGGGAAACUGCCUGAUGGAGGGGGAUAACUACUGGAAACGGUAGCUAAUACCGCAUAACGUCGCAAGACCAAAGAGGGGGACCCUCGGGCCUCUUGCCAUCGGAUGUGCCCAGAUGGGAUUAGCUUGUUGGUGGGGUAACGGCUCACCAAGGCGACGAUCCCUAGCUGGUCUGAGAGGAUGACCAGCCACACUGGAACUGAGACACGGUCCAGACUCCUACGGGAGGCAGCAGUGGGGAAUAUUGCACAGUGGGCGCAAGCCUGAUGCAGCCAUGCCGCGUGUAUGAAGAAGGCCUUCGGGUUGUAAAGUACUUUCAGCGGGGAGGAAGGGAGUAAAGUUAAUACCUUUGCUCAUUGACGUUACCCGCAGAAGAAGCACCGGCUAACUCCGUGCCAGCAGCCGCGGUAA
rnacentral:rRNA from 1 species